UGCGAGCGUGACGGCGCGAGCAGGUGCGAAAGCAGGUCAUAGUGAUCCGGUGGUUCUGAAUGGAAGGGCCAUCGCUCAACGGAUAAAAGGUACUCCGGGGAUAACAGGCUGAUACCGCCCAAGAGUUCAUAUCGACGGCGGUGUUUGGCACCUCGAUGUCGGCUCAUCACAUCCUGGGGCUGAAGUAGGUCCCAAGGGUAUGGCUGUUCGCCAUUUAAAGUGGUACGCGAGCUGGGUUUAGAACGUCGUGAGACAGUUCGGUCCCUAUCUGCCGUGGGCGCUGGAGAACUGAGGGGGGCUGCUCCUAGUACGAGAGGACCGGAGUGGACGCAUCACUGGUGUUCGGGUUGUCAUGCCAAUGGCACUGCCCGGUAGCUAAAUGCGGAAGAGAUAAGUGCUGAAAGCAUCUAAGCACGAAACUUGCCCCGAGAUGAGUUCUCCCUGACCCUUUAA
rnacentral:rRNA from 1 species